rnacentral:rRNA from 1 species
CCGCAAGGGCUAAAACCCAAAGGAAUUGACGGGGGCUUACACAAGCGGUGGAGCAUGUGGUUUAAUUCGAAACAACGCGCAAAACCUUACCAAUCCUUGACAUAUGAAAAACCAGGGUGUUUACCCGCUCUGUCUCUUUUAUACAGGUGCUGCAUGGCUGUCGUCAGUUCGUGGUGUGAGCUGUUGGGUUAAGUCCCAGAACGAACGCAACCCUCCUUUGAAAUGAAGGUUUACCUUUUUCAAAGACUGCCAAGGAUAUCUUGGAGGAAGGUGAGGAUGACGUCAAGUCCGCAUGGCCCUUAUGGGUUGGGCUACACACGUGCUACAAUGGGAAUGACAAAAGGAGGCAACAUGGCAACAUUGAGCAAAUCCCAAAAAGUUUCCUUAGUUCGGAUUGUUCUCUGCAACUCGAGAACAUGAAGUUGGAAUCGCUAGUAAUCGUAGAUCAGCACGCUACGGUGAAUUUGUAUCUAAGCCUUGUACACACCGCCCGUCACACUCUGAAAAUUUUCAUGCCUUGAAGCAAAAGAAGUUCACCAAGAACACACAGCGCAAUUAAAAAAAAACAUCUUCCCUUUUUUUUCUGUGUCUUUGUUGGAACCUUUUCUAGAGUUAGGGAGGUGAUUGGAGUG